GAUGAACGCUGGCGGCGUGCCUAAUACAUGCGAGUCGAGCGAACAGACGAGGAGCUUGCUCCUCUGACGUUAGCGGCGGACGGGUGAGUAACACGUGGAUAACCUACCUAUAAGACUGGGAUAACUUCGGGAAGCCGGAGCUAAUACCGGAUAAUAUAUUGAACCGCAUGGUUCAAUAGUGAAAGACGGUUUUGCUGUCACUUAUAGAUGGAUCCGCGCCGCAUUAGCUAGUUGGUAAGGUAACGGCUUACCAAGGCAACGAUGCGUAGCCGACCUGAGAGGGUGAUCGGCCACACUGGAACUGAGACACGGUCCAGACUCCUACGGGAGGCAGCCGUAGGGAAUCUUCCGCAAUGGGCGAAAGCCUGACGGAGCAACGCCGCGUGAGUGAUGAAGGUCUUCGGAUCGUAAAACUCUGUUAUUAGGGAAGAACAAAUGUGUAAGUAACUAUGCACGUCUUGACGGUACCUAAUCAGAAAGCCACGGCUAACUACGUG
rnacentral:rRNA from 1 species